CCUACGGGUGGCAGCAGUGGGGAAUCUUGCGCAAUGGGCGAAAGCCUGACGCAGCAACGCCGCGUGGAGGACGAAUGUUUCUGAGUUGUAAACUCCUUUCAGCAGGGACGCGGUACCUGCAGAAGAAGCACCGGCCAACUACGUGCCAGCAGCCGCGGUGAUACGUAGGGUGCAAGCGUUGUCCGGAUUUAUUGGGCGUAAAGAGCUCGUAGGUGGUUUGAUAAGUCGGAUGUGAAACCCCCAGGCUUAACCUGGGGCCGCCAUUCGAUACUGUCAGACUAGAGUUUGGUAGGGGACCAUGGAAUUCCUGGUGUAGCGGUGAAAUGCGCAGAUAUCAGGAGGAACACCAGCAGCGAAGGCGGUGGUCUGGGCAAACUGACGCUGAGGAGCGAAAGCGUGGGGAGCAACAGGAUUAGAUACCCUUGUAGUC
rnacentral:rRNA from 1 species